rnacentral:rRNA from 1 species
GAUGAACGCUGGCGGCGUGCUUAACACAUGCAAGUCGAGCGGAGAUAUAAAAAGGAAGCCCUUCGGGGUGGAAUUUUUACAUCUUAGCGGCGGACGGGUGCGUAACACGUGGGUAACCUGCCCCUAUCACUGGGAUAACACACUGAAAAGUGUGCUAAUACCAGAUAAUAUAAGCUUUUGGCAUCGUUAGCUUAUCAAAGAAUUUCGGAUAGGGAUGGGCCCGCGUCUGAUUAGCUAGUUGGUGAGGUAACGGCUCACCAAGGCAACGAUCAGUAGCCGACCUGAGAGGGUGAUCGGCCACACUGGAACUGAGACACGGUCCAGACUCCUACGGGAGGCAGCAGUGGGGAAUAUUGCACAAUGGGCGAAAGCCUGAUGCAGCAACGCCGCGUGAGCGAUGAAGGC